rnacentral:rRNA from 1 species
UACGUAGGGUGCGAGCGUUAAUCGGAAUUACUGGGCGUAAAGUGUGCGCAGGUGGCCGCGCAUGUCGAGUGUGAAAUCCCCCGGGCUUAACUUGGGAAUUGCGCUCGAAACUACGUGGCUCGAGUGUGGCAGAGGAAGGUGGAAUUCCACGUGUAGCGGUGAAAUGCGUAGAUAUUCGGAAGAACACCAGUGGCGAAGGCGGACUUACUGGACACAUAUUGACGCUGAGGUGCGAAAGCGUGGGGAGCAAACAGGG